CGACCCCAGGUCAGGCGGGAUCACCCGCUGAGUUUAAGCAUAUCAAUAAGCGGAGGAAAAGAAACUAACAAGGAUUUCCUUAGUAACGGCGAGCGAACCGGGAAUAGCCCAUCUUGAAAGUCGGACGUUUUCGGCGUUCGAAUUGUAGUCUGGAGAAGCGUCCUCAGCGGCGGGUCAGGCCCAAGUUCCCUGGAAAGGGGCGCCAGAGAGGGUGAGAUCCCCGUCGUGCCCAGACCCUAUCGCACCACGAGGCACUAUCUACGAGUCGGGUUGUUUGGGAAUGCAGCCCCAAUCGAGCGGUAAAUUCCGUCCAAGGCUAAAUGUGGGCGAGAGACCGAUAGCAAACAAGUACCACGAGGUAAAGAUGAAAAGGACUUUGAAAAGAGAGUCAAAGAGUGCUUGAAAUUGUCGGGAGGGAAGCGGAUGGGGGCCGGCGAUUCGUCCCUUUUGGAUGCAGAACGGAGCAAUCCAGUCCGCCAAUUGAUUCGGGCCAUGGACCAACACAGAUUAAGGUGGUGACCUAAGCCCGGGCUUUUGUUACGCCCACGAAGACGUCACUGCCUUAAUCGUGGUCUGCAGCACGCGUCUCACGGCGUGUCUUGGCAUCUGCGUGCUCAGGGCGUCGAUAUGUUGGCUCCCCAUUAGACCCAUCUUGAAACAUGGACCAAGGAGUCUGACAUGUGUGCGAGUCAACGGGUGAGUAAACCCGUAAGGUGCAAAGAAGCUGAUUGGCUGGAUCCCUCACGGGUGCACAGCCAACCGACCUUGAUCUUCUGAGAAGGGUUAGAUUGUGAGCAUGCCUGUCGGGACCCGAAAGAUGGUGAACUAUGCCUGAGCGGGGCGAAGCCAGAGGAAACUCUGGUGGAGGCCCGUAGAGAUACUGACGUGCAAAUCGUUCGUCUCACUUGGGUAUAGGGGUGAAAGACUAAUCGAACCAUCAAGUAGCUGGUUCCCUCUGAAGUUUCCCUCAGGAUAGCUGGAGCUCGGAAACGAGUUCUAUCGGGUAAAGCCAAUGAUUAGAGGCAUCGGGGAUGCAAUGUCCUCGACCUAUUCUCAAACUUUAAAUAGGUAGGACGGGGUGGCUUCCUUGUUGAGCCAUCCCACGGAAUCGAGAGCUCCAAGUGGGCCAUUUUUGGUAAGCAGAACUGGCGAUGCGGGAUGAACUGGAAGCCGGGUUACGGUGCCCAACUGCACGCUAACCUAGAACCGACAAAGGGUGGUGGUCGAUUAAGACAGCAGGACAGUGGACAUGGAAGUCGAAAUCCGCUAAGGAGUGUGUAACAACUCACCUGCCGAAUCAACUAGCUCCGAAAAUGGAUGGCUCUGAGGCGCGCGACCUAUACCCGGCCGUCGGGGCAAGAGCCAGGCCUCGAUGAGUAGGAGGGUGCAGCGAUCGCUGCAAAACCUAGGGCGUGAGCCCGAGCGGAGCGGCCGUCGGUGCAGAUCUUGGUGAUAGUAGCAAAUAUUCAAAUGAGAACUUUGAAGGCCGAAGAGGGGAAAUGUUCCAUGUGAACGGCACUUGCACAUGGGUUAGUCAAUCCUAAGAGUCGGGGGAAACCCGUCUGAUAGCGCUUAUGCCCGAACUUCGAAAGGGGAUCCGGUUAAAAUUCUGGAACUGGGACGUGGGGGUUGACCGCUACGUUAGGAAGUCCGGAGACAUUGGCAGGAUUCCAGAAAGAGUUAUCUUUUCUGUUUAACAGCCUACCCACCCUGGAAACGGCUCAGCCGGAGGUAGGGUCCAGCGGCUGGAAGAGUGAUAUACCUUGGAUUUGACCCGUUUUCAUCCAUGGUAUAUAUGUGUUUUACUAUAGAUAUAUAUCUAUGUUUUCUACUCUUCUAGGUAUGUUUUCAGGUUCAGGUGUAUUUCGGAGUAAAGCUACGACUUUGGAGCAUUUUGGAGCUUAAAAUACAUUUCAUCUGAGCUGACCAUGUAGAGGUCGAAGAGAGGAAGAACAAUCGAUCGAUGCACAUCCAGUGCUA
rfam:Brassica napus, WGS project CCCW01000000 data, contig: 37310